ensembl:lncRNA
GAGACACUAGUAAAUUCUCUAGCCCAGGGUCCAGUUCCGAGUUCCAUCCUCACUUCCAGGCAGCCUGAAGCCAGCCCUUCCUGCUCCUUCCCCCGCCUCGAACAGCUUCUCUUUUCACCAGGACGACGGGAGGACCCCUGAGGGACCCCUGCCUCCAUCCCUCGGGGCCGCUGCAACGGAGCCCCUGGCAAUAUCGGUCUAGGUGUGAGUGUCCCAGUGCAGAGCCCCCUGGGGCCUCCCUCCGGCCAGCCCUCCGCUCCUGGCCGUCAACCCCCAUGCAGCAGAGCCCCUCUUCGGUUCCAUCUACCCUUGAAUGGGAUGGAAACGCUCUGAGAGAUGAGUGGGAAGAUCCUGGCAGAGCCCUCCUGGUCGUGAUGCCGUUUGCACCCCAUUCGCGAGAAGGCAGCAGUAGCGUCAGGGCUCCAACUCUUUCUCUUCAUCAGCCACUUCAGGCCAGGCCCAGGUUCCAAAUCCACCCAGUGCCAGGCACUUCACAGCCCUCACCAGGCUGGGAAUCUGACUUUAGUGGGCAUGACUGCUGACCAGACACCUGUGCUUGGGCAGAGAGACCAGGGCUACUCCUGUUGCUCAGCACACCUGAGAUCGCCAAAUCUGUCCCAGGCUUGUGGACAUUUCUUGUGGAAUGAUUUUCAAGUCUUCCAGAAACUUCUUUUGUCUCAUCACCUGUGGAAGCAGCUGGUCCCAAAGUCACUUUGUUCCAUGAACGGAGUUGAUUUUGGACUCCCCCUCUAGAGUCUGGCAAAACUGAGGACAGGGACCCCCAUAUACCUCAAUUAUAAACUUUGGCUAGCCCCUGGGUGGGCACACACUGUCUCCCAGGUCUGGCUCUAAACACAUCCCUAAUAAAGCCCCACAAGAUCCGCUCCCCAUGAGUCAUGUUCUUGCCUCUCUAUAGUCACUUCAAGU